UUGACGNGAANNUGGUGCUUGCACCAAUUUGAAGAGCAGCGAACGGGUGAGUAACGCGUGGGGAAUCUGCCUUUGAGCGGGGGACAACAUUUGGAAACGAAUGCUAAUACCGCAUAACAACUUUAAACAUAAGUUUUAAGUUUGAAAGAUGCAAUUGCAUCACUCAAAGAUGAUCCCGCGUUGUAUUAGCUAGUUGGUGAGGUAAAGGCUCACCAAGGCGAUGAUACAUAGCCGACCUGAGAGGGUGAUCGGCCACAUUGGGACUGAGACACGGCCCAAACUCCUACGGGAGGCAGCAGUAGGGAAUCUUCGGCAAUGGACGAAAGUCUGACCGAGCAACGCCGCGUGAGUGAAGAAGGUUUUCGGAUCGUAAAACUCUGUUGGUAGAGAAGAACGUUGGUGAGAGUGNAAGCUCAUCAAGUGACGGUAACUNCCCAGAAAGGGACGGCUACUNCGUGCCAGCAGCCGCGGUANNCNUAUGUCCCGAGCGUUGUCCGGAUUUNUUGGGCGUAAAGCGAGCGCAGGGGGUUANNAAGUCUGGNGUAAANGCAGUGCUCANCCAUUGUNUGCAUGGAAC
rnacentral:rRNA from 1 species